rnacentral:rRNA from 1 species
UUUCUUUUUGAAAGUAUAAAAGGUACAGCCUGCUCACUGAGUUUUAAAGAGCCGCGGUAUCUUGACCGUGCAAAGGUAGCAUAAUCAUUAGUUUUUUAAUUGAAGACUGGAAUGAAAGGUUUAACGAAAAUUUAGCUGUCUCUUAAUAAUGCAUUUAAUUUUAUUUUAUAGUGAAAAAGCUAUAAUGUGGUAAAAGGACGAGAAGACCCCGUAGAGCUUUAUAAUUUUUAGAUAAUUGGUAAUAGAAGUGAGGAAUUAUUGUAUUGGGGUGGAACAUUUUAAAUGAGUAUUAGAUCUAAAAUAACAAAAGAUUAAGUUACCUUGGGGAUAACAGCGUAAUUAUUUUGGAGAGCCCAAAUUGAUGGAAUAGAUUGCGACCUCGAUGUUGGAUUAGAAGAAUGUUUAAAGUAAAAAUUAAAUUGAGUAGUCUGUUCGACUAAUAAAUUUCUA